GAUGAACGCUGGCGGCGUGCCUAAUACAUGCAAGUCGAGCGAACAGAUGAGGAGCUUGCUCCUCUGACGUUAGCGGCGGACGGGUGAGUAACACGUGGAUAACCUACCUAUAAGACUGGGAUAACUUCGGGAAACCGGAGCUAAUACCGGAUAAUAUAUUGAACCGCAUGGUUCAAUAGUGAAAGACGGUUUUGCUGUCACUUAUAGAUGGAUCCGCGCCGCAUUAGCUAGUUGGUAAGGUAACGGCUUACCAAGGCAACGAUGCGUAGCCGACCUGAGAGGGUGAUCGGCCACACUGGAACUGAGACACGGUCCAGACUCCUACGGGAGGCAGCAGUAGGGAAUCUUCCGCAAUGGGCGAAAGCCUGACGGAGCAACGCCGCGUGAGUGAUGAAGGUCUUCGGACCGUAAAACUCUGUUAUUAGGGAAGAACAAAUGUGUAAGUAACUAUGCACGUCUUGACGGUACCUAAUCAGAAAGCCACGGCUAACUACGU
rnacentral:rRNA from 1 species